UCAAUACAUUUUAGGGAAAAUAUAGAAUACGAUUAUGAAUGAUGUAUCAUUUUAUCAGGUAUACCCAAGAACAUGACAUUGGUUUGUGCUGUAUUCUGGUCGACACAAACACACACAGACACACUUUUAAAGAAUCUGAUAAAUUAUUGCUUAGUAAAAAGGAAAAUAAACAUGUAUAUUAAUAAUAUACAUAUAAUAUCAAAUGAAACAGGACCACCAGUGGUUAAAAUAGGAGAGAAUAUUUUGUUUUUAUUUGUUGUGAAGCUAUAAAACAUUGUUGUUGAGUCUUCUUCGUGCUGGUGAAAUAUUUACAACUCUGGUGGACAGUACAGUGUCUGAGAUUAAAAUUCACAGUUUUCGGGGGAGAAAAGAGUUGAGGAGAGGAAAACAUUUAAAGCAACACCCAAAUCACAAAGUGCAAUAAAUACCUGGUGGGUAUAUCUGGCGCCACCUAUUGGCCGCAGCCACCAGACACACGCGAGGGACUCGACAGGAAGAGAAUCACAGGACAACUUCAAUUAAGGUUAACCGCGUGUGAGUCAUCGACUACGCGUCGACCGGAGAAGUCACGUGACUAAACAAGGUUCUCAGUGGUUUAAAAAACAAAAACACAAACAAAUUACAUACAAAAAGAUAUACGAUGGCCUACAUUCAUUUCUGAUCGAACAUUCCGUCAAUCAAGACAUAUUUUAAUUGAUCGUAACACAUCGCAUAUAUUGCUGAUAACGAACGAGAUCAACGUUGGAAUGGUGCGCCUCAAAUCAAAGCCUACUUUACGACGACACUACGACAGAAAAACAAGGAGUAACGCGCAAAGGUAAACCUUUGCAUGAGAACGACUAAACGAAAGGUAAAAUCAGGUACUUCAGAAGUGAUACUUAUUCCUUAUGGUUUACUGAUAAUCUACACUGUAGCUCGCCCUCUCUCUCACACACGGGGCUCUCUCUCCCCCUCGCACGCGCACACACACCCAGACCUCUCCUCCUCCCACCCCCCUCCUCCUCCCUACUCCUUCCGCACGUCCGCUCCACCUGUCACCUGCACUGUCAGAUACAGGAAGUGACAUCAUAACCCUACACACGCUCACUCUCUCUCUCCAGACAGGAAGGGAGACGCUCCUGGGAUCACAUCGUUGUCUUCCAAACGGACGGCUCCAUGCCGCCGUUUCCACGGCAACCGUUCAUCUGGAGGGACCUGGGUGGAGGCAAGGAGGACCGCGCCCAGGUCCAGGUGGAGCGUUGAACCCGCGCGCUGUUACGCGUUGCCUCGCUCAAGUCAUAAAUUAACUCAGGGAAUAGAACCGCUGGCGAGCCGGCAAGUACCUCUUGGAGGUGGCUGGUGGUUCUGGUCAAGGACGCCCGGCUGACCGGUUCUACGGUAACCCCUGCAGACCGCUGGCUGCUUCCUCAUAAAGAAAACACCUGAAGCUUUCAGCGGUACACAACCAACCAAAGGUCAGAGAGAGAGAAGGGUAGAGACAGUGAGCGAGCGCGAAAGGGAGAGUGAGAGAAUCAACCAAAGGUCAGGACUCUCCUCUGAUGCAUCAUAUACCAGAGAGAGAGAAAGAGGGGGGGGGGGGAGACAGACCCUGACAUGGUCAGUCUAUGAGGGUCAUCCAUUCAUCUCCUGGUAGAGCAGUAAAUACUGACCUCUCCUUUUACCCGGAGAGCUCUGAGAAGCCAGUUAAGGCGGUAAACUGGCGUGAUCUUAUUUCCUUCAUUUGUUCGAGAGACAGCUAAUCACUGCUUCCCUCGAGUAACUUAUCUCGUGUGUGUGUGUGUGUGUGUGUGCGAUUGUGUUACAGUGUCUGUGUGCAUGCGUGAGUGUGUGUUACAGUGUGUGUGUGUGUGUGUGUGUGUGUGUGUUACAGUGUGCACAUCAUUUAACAACAAACAACAUUUCAUGAGCAGCUGUAACGACAGGUGGUCCUCUUCAGAACCUCAGCACUGAUCAAGAAGAUCUGGACAUGUUCUUCAGAGUACAGCAUAGAUAGAAGAGUACAACAGUAUGAGUAGUAGAGUACCACAGAACCAGUGCUGGAGUAGUACAGUACCACAGUACCAGUACUAGAGUAGUACAGUACCACAGUAACAGUACUACCGAGAUCGUACCAGGGUUCUGGUGCAUGAGAAACCAAAGGAUGUCACCUUGAUGUAAGCUGCUGGAUUCUGUCAGCGCAUCGACUUCCCAUUCUCUCCUGAUCCAGUCCUAUCCAGUCUUAUCCAGACCUGAUCCAGUCUCGAUCCAGUCCUGAUCCAGUCCUAACCAGAUCUGAUCCAGUCCUUACUGUCCUAAAGAGUAUUGCUGGUGUGUUUCAGAGCUCCAACGUCCCCACUAUGAAGGUGAGGUGUGUUUCAGAGCUCCCCUCUGAAGGUGAGGUUGGUUUCAGAGCUCCCCUCUGAAGGUGAGGCUGGUUUCAGAGCUCCAACGUCCCCACUAUGUAGGUGAGGUGUGUUUCAGAGUUCCCCUCUGAAGGUGAGGUGUGUUUCAGAGCUCCAACGUCCCCACUAUGUAGGUGAGGUGUGUUUCAGAGCUCAAACGUCCCCACUAUGUAGGUGAGGUGUGUUUCAGAGUUCCCCUCUGAAGGGGAGGUGUGUUUCCAGCCCCUUUGGGUGGGUUGUGCUGUACGUAGGAGGUCCCCUUGUGACGGAUCUGUUCCUUGUGGAGGAACCUCCGCCGUGCUCGUACGCGUGUGUGCUUAAAGUCCUGAUCCAGCUGGAAUGCUAAUGAAACCUGGGGGAAGCAGCAUGAAGGCCCAGCUUCUGGUCCAACCUAAAGCUAGAACUGGACUGGAUUCAAACUAAAGCUAGGAAAAGCGUCGGGGGCUCGGAGAGACCUCUGUCGUCGGCCGGCAGAGUUGGGUUCCUUGACGUGGCAGCUCGGACGCUGCCCGGUUCUCCUGGUCCGGCUCGGGGGAAGGGGGGGGGGGGGUCCUCACACGUCAUGGGAGGGGAGGUCAGGGAUGGAGCUCCGUGCUCUGGUGAGGAACGCCAUCUUAUCUCUGAGGAGAGAACACCCGUCAGAACAACUGAUGGCUUCUGUAACACUAGCAGAUAUAGCUACUGUUAGCUUCUGUAUCAAUAGCAGAUAUAGCUACUGUUAGCUUCUGUAACACUAGCAGAUAUAGCUACUGUUAGCUU
ensembl:lncRNA